AUCAAAGAGAAUUUCCCUUUAGCUUAGCAAUGUGCUGAAGCUCUUAAAAGAUUGGAUCUGAGAGAGAGAGACAGAGAGGAGAAAGAGAACUAGAGACAGAGAGAGGCAGACAAGGAAGGGGGGGGGGGGUGAAAGACUUUCUUUUUCUUUCUAGAGGAAUUCUGCCCAGACUCUGCAGCAGUUGGUAGCAGGCAAGCUUUCUCCUGGGUGUCGCCUUGAAAAGUUGCAAAAUUGCUCUUCACCUGUAAGAACAUGCUCUUUAUCUUCCAGUCUCUUCUUGUCAAUUUGGAAAUUGCAGACUGCCCGGCUCAGGUACAGUCCCCACAAACCCUAUUCUAGGUCAGGACAAAAGCCACUGGCUUUGGGGGAAGGGGGCUGGGCUCUUUUACUGAAAACCUUAGAUGCUUGGUGGGAGAAAAAGACUCUUUGGAUGAAAAGUCUAACUCUUGAUUUUCAAAAAUUUCUUAAUGAAAGCGAUGAUGAUGUCGACCUUAACCUCCAGAAUGAAGAUACUUCAGGACUUAGUCUGAGAAGGUAAGAUAGACGAUGACAUCAAAUGUACCC
rnacentral:lncRNA from 1 species